UUCCAGAAAUUCUCAUUAAAAGCUCACGUGCUCCGUGCGCAGGGACCGGGAUAGCAAUAUAGCAUACAAGAAAUAAACAACGCCGACGCCGGGAUAGUGUUGCAAUGUUGACCGAACGGAGCAGGAUGAAAUCAGGAACUAUAUCAUUCAAAUCAUUCGGUUUUUACACAAAAACAUGCGAAAAUGUAGAAUGUAAGGAACAAUCUUCUGCAUUGUAGUGCUAACUUACAAUUAGCGCGAU